GGAUAACCUACCCUUAGGACUGGGAUAACCCUGGGAAACUGGGGAUAAUACCGGAUAGGCAAUUCUUCCUGGAAUGGUUUUUUGUUUAAAUGUUUUUUCGCCUAAGGAUGGGUCUGCGGCCGAUUAGGUAGUUGGUUAGGUAACGGCUUACCAAGCCAUUGAUCGGUACGGGUUGUGAGAGCAAGAGCCCGGAGAUGGAACCUGAGACAAGGUUCCAGGCCCUACGGGGUGCAGCAGGCGCGAAACCUCCGCAAUGUGAGAAAUCGCGACGGGGGGAUCCCAAGUGCCAUUCUUAACGGGAUGGCUUUUCAUUAGUGUAAAGAGCUUUUGGAAUAAGGGCUGGGCAAGACCGGUGCCAGCCGCCGCGGUAACACCGGCAGCUCUAGUGGUAGCAGUUUUUAUUGGGCCUAAAGCGUCCGUAGCCGGUUUAAUAAGUCUCUGGUGAAAUCCUGUAGCUUAACUGUGGGAAUUGCUGGAGAUACUAUUAGACUUGAGACCGGGAGAGGUUAGAGGUACUCCCAGGGUAGAGGUGAAAUUCUGUAAUCCUGGGAGGACCGCCUGUUGCGAAGGCGUCUAACUGGAACGGUUCUGACGGUGAGGGACGAAAGUUAGGGGCGCGAACCGGAUUAGAUACCCGGGUAGUCCUAACUGUAAACGAUGCGGACUUGGUGUUGGGGGUGGCUUUGAGCUGCUUCAGUGCCGAAGGGAAGCUGUUAAGUCCGCCGCCUGGGAAGUACGGUCGCAAGACUGAAACUUAA
rnacentral:rRNA from 1 species